AUUGAACGCUGGCGGAAUGCUUUACACAUGCAAGUCGAACGGCAGCACGGGGGCGAACCCUCGGUGGCGAGUGGCGAACGGGUGAGUAAUACAUCGGAACGUGCCCACGUCGUGGGGGAGUAACGUAGCGAAAGCUACGCUAAUACCGCAUACGAUCUGUGGAUGAAAGCGGGGGAGUCGCAAGACCUCGCGCGAUUGGAGCGGCCGAUGGCAGAUUAGGUAGUUGGGGGGUUAAAGGCGUCACCAAGCCGACGAUCUGUAGCUGGUCUGAGAGGACGACCAGCCACACUGGGACUGAGACACGGCCCAGAC
rnacentral:rRNA from 1 species